rnacentral:rRNA from 1 species
CACACGACUCUCGGCAACGGAUAUCUCGGCUCUCGCAUCGAUGAAGAACGUAGCGAAAUGCGAUACCUGGUGUGAAUUGCAGAAUCCCGCGAACCAUCGAGUCUUUGAACGCAAGUUGCGCCCAAGGCCAUUCGGCUGAGGGCACGCCUGCCUGGGCGUCACGC